UACGGAGGGGGCGAGCGUUAUUCGGAAUUAUUGGGCGUAAAGGGCGCGUAGGCGGCCUUGCAAGUCAGAGGUGAAAUCCCUCGGCUCAACUGAGGAACUGCCUUUGAAACUGCAAGGCUUGAGGCCGGGAGGGGGUAGCGGAAUUCCCAGUGUAGCGGUGAAAUGCGUAGAUAUUGGGAGGAACACCAGUGGCGAAGGCGGCUACCUGGACCGGUUCUGACGCUGAUGCGCGAAAGCGUGGGUAGCAAACAGG
rnacentral:rRNA from 1 species